rnacentral:lncRNA from 1 species
UUUCAUAAAAGUGCAGAGAAAAUUCUGUUAUAGAAAGAAAGCUAUAUUUUGUAUCUUUACUAACUUGUAUCCCAAGAAACCCAAGAACACAAAAACAUAACCUACCCUCUCUUCUUUUUUUUUGCUCUCUCUCUUUCUUUCUCAUGGAGAAUAAUGAACCACCACAGCCACCACCACCAGCCCAGCCACUGCCACUUGUGAUCUAUAACUAUAAUCCUCCUUAUGAUUCCAUUUUAGAUAUAUUGAUAACGGAACUUAGUUACCCCUUCAACGUCACUCUCUAUAACUUCAACAUCAACAAUACCCAUCUCUACUUCAAUAUCACUAACAACUCCAUCACCAUCACUCCCAUCCAUGCAACACAAAAUCGUAAUAACGUAGCAGAUGAUAAUGAUGAUGAUGAUGAUAGUGAUAAUACUACUGAUCUUUUGCGCGACGUCAACAAAGAUGAUAAUAAUAAUACAGGAUUAGAGCUUCAUAUAAUCCCUGAUAUGCAUGGAAUUAGACAAUAUGGCAUUAGACUCCCUACACUUCCAACCCUACCAGCCUACAUAAACAUCGACAACAACAACCUUGUUUUGCUCAUCAAUUCAGGCCCUUCAGUCCAUCUCAUUAGUCCAGCUCCACCACUUCCUAUUAACCCUAUUGACGACGCCGAAAACAACAAUAACAAUCAAUCCAUUUCUCUCUCUAUUACAAUGCCAUUUAGUCUCAGAUUCGCUUUCAACGAUCCCAAAACAAACACCAUCGUUAAUAUCUUCGUCCGAGUUUCGGUUACCCAUGUCCACAUCCAGGCUAGUACUCAAAAAGGAGUCACUGAUUGUGCCGUCUAUCUCGUAAUCAGGUCUCCUCAAACAUAAAAUCAAGACCAAGGCUUGUCAAGAAACUAGUAUUUGUUAGUCUUUUUUUGCAACUUUUGUUCUCUAUUUCCCUUGAUUUCAUCACUGUGUAGUAGAAUUUGAGUAGGAUAUGUUACUGGUUAAUUUGAUUUAGACAGUCUCUUGCUUUCUUCCUUUCUUUGAUUUUCAAUAAAUAAAUGUAGAGCUUGCUAUGAUUUUGAGAUAAGUAUUGCAACUUGAUUGUUUUUGGUUGGUUCCACUUCUUACUUUCUUUGUUAUUCAUUGUUAGAAUCAAUGUAUAAAAAGAAAUUUGGAGGAGCCAAAUGAG